rnacentral:rRNA from 1 species
AUACGGAGGGGGCUAGCGUUGUUCGGAAUUACUGGGCGUAAAGCGUACGUAGGCGGACUGAUCAGUUGGGGGUGAAAUCCCAGGGCUUAACCCUGGAACUGCCUUCAAUACUGUCAGUCUUGAGAUUGGAAGAGGUGAGUGGAAUUCCUAGUGUAGAGGUGAAAUUCAUAGAUAUUAGGAGGAACACCAGUGGCGAAGGCGGCUCACUGGUCCAAUACUGACGCUGAGGUACGAAAGCGUGGGUAGCAAACGGGAUUAGAUACCCUAGUAGUCC